UACUAAGAUUUCGUAGUCCACAGGUGGCUAAUAAAUCAUUCAUUUUUCUCAAACAUUUUGUCAGCAACAGUACUUAGUACCUAGUACUAUUAAUAUCACCUAUGUGAAAUGAAGUAUCGAUCGAGACCUGCGCGUUGCAUUCAGGCCGCGACUAUUUAUAUCCGGGUGCAGCGCCGUCCAUCCCUCAUUCUGACGACAGCCACGGCUGGGGCCGUGCCUCCUCUGGAGUUCUGCUGAUACCAAGACGGAGAGCGACCUCACCUGACACUCUGGAGUACACCUUUCCGAGUGCGGCGGAUCGCCGCCACCUUUGACCAAGGUCUUUCCCGGUCAGCGUACAGCCAUGGUGAUGCAGCACCAGAUCCACC